GUGGUGUUAGGGGUGAACAGAAAAUCAAAAGUUUAAUUUUGUCUAUAUUAAGAGUGAAAAACCUGUUUGAUUUCAAGUUGACAGUUGGAUACUUUGGUCUGGAGCUUAGUGGAGAGCUUUUCUUCAUUGAUUCAACAAAUACUGUUUAUUGUCUGCCAGGCACUGUUUCUGGAAAUGUGAAUGAAACAGCCCCUUUCUUCAUGGAACUUAUAUUCUAGUGCAGAGAUACAACCUAACCAGCUACCCAGUUCUUCGUGCUAUGAAACUCCUUCAGAAUAUCUGGUUUAUUUUACUGAGAGUGACUGCUGCAUCUAAAUCACUUCUCCAAAGUUACCAGGAGAGGACUCUGAGGUCACACCGGCCCCAGAUGGUCUUGACAAAUGUGAACACUGAAUGCUUGUUGAAGCUCAAGUAUCUAACAUGUAUUUAAGGCAAGAAGAAAGAGCGAGGUGGGUGCCUGAUACCUCCAUUUUAUAAGAAGAACAAAAGCUUAAUCAAAAGUCGCCUGGAAGAUUCUGCUUGUGUAUCACACUUGGGCCAGAGCUGGGCCAUAUAGCCACUCCCACCUGCAAAAGAGCUGGGAAGCAUGAAAAGCAGGAAAUGCAGGAGAACAAGACAGAGGAAAUGGUAGAUUCAUCCUUUGUGUCUUUCAAGGAGACACGAUGAAAAAAAGUCCAUGAUAAACUGUGAAUUUGAAGACAAAUCAUGAAAAAAUAGUUACCAUGAAACUGUAGUAAAUUCCCAGGUGCGUGGGGAAGAGAUACUCCAUGUUUUAGAAGACGAGUUACACUCAAGUCCCAAGAAGGAAGAUCUGAGUGGUAGAUGUUUCCAUUUUUAUAUUACUAAUGAUGAAACUAAGGCUCAGAGAAGUAAAGGAGCUUGCCUAAGAUGAUAAAUGAUAAUAAAUGAUAGAAUAAAGAAGAACCCAUAAGAGAGAGGAAAAUAAACUCCAGGGCACUGUGAAAGAAGGCCUGGCAAAUGCAACCUACAAUCCAUUUUGUGAUAUUGAUGAACUGUAACGUUGAUUUACCCUGUUUUUGUCACCAAAGGAAGCCAUUGAGCCAUGGUUAUAAGAUUUCUUCUUGGACAUUUGAAACUGAGAAUUUCCAUAUUCUUAUUUUUCAGAAGUUGAUGAAUUUCAGCGCUAGGCAGGAUUUUAUAAAACAAAUUUAGGGGAGAAUACAUUUUAGAUAAUUUCUUUGUGCUGCCAUUUAUCACCUGUUGGUUGAAGAUCUGUGUUUUAGGUGAUGCUGUUGUAAGUAGUACUGCAAACACUUUCUGCUUUUAAGUGUGUACAGCUCUCAGAAUCUGAAUUACAUGGCAUAGUGCUUUUGUAAAGUGUAUGUUUUCAAUGGUAUAAAGUUUAUUUCGAUGUUUUAAAUCAUCGAUCACCUGUGCAUAGAUUUUGUUGUUUUUUGCCUUUUCUACAUUGUUACAAAUAUAUCCCAGUCACUAGGCCAUAGUUGUCUAGGUUUUCGCCAAGGUGUUUCUUUUCUCCGUGUCUUUUCCCAGAGACUUUCCAAGCUCUAGGAUUCAAGGCAGACCUCUCAUACCUCUAAGAUCUUACUUAAAUCUGAUUUGGGCUUCAGGGAAACAUUAAAGACACAACCAGUACCUGAAACUUUUAGUCUCAGUGUUCUGAUUUGUCCUUGGUCACUUCCCCUAGCCUAUGAAGGGAAUUUCUGAUUGAGUUCUACAUCUCUGAUUUUUAAAAUUUUGAUCAUAACUCAUUUUU